rnacentral:rRNA from 1 species
AGAGUUUGAUCCUGGCUCAGGAUGAACGCUAGCUACAGGCUUAACACAUGCAAGUCGAGGGGCAGCAUGGUCUUAGCUUGCUAAGGCCGAUGGCGACCGGCGCACGGGUGAGUAACACGUAUCCAACCUGCCGUCUACUCUUGGACAGCCUUCUGAAAGGAAGAUUAAUACAAGAUGGCAUCAUGAGUCCGCAUGUUCACAUGAUUAAAGGUAUUCCGGUAGACGAUGGGGAUGCGUUCCAUUAGAUAGUAGGCGGGGUAACGGCCCACCUAGUCUUCGAUGGAUAGGGGUUCUGAGAGGAAGGUCCCCCACAUUGGAACUGAGACACGGUCCAAACUCCUACGGGAGGCAGCAGUGAGGAAUAUUGGUCAAUGGACGAGAGUCUGAACCAGCCAAGUAGCGUGAAGGAUGACUGCCCUAUGGGUUGUAAACUUCUUUUAUAAAGGAAUAAAGUCGGGUAUGGAUACCCGUUUGCAUGUACUUUAUGAAUAAGGAUCGGCUAACUCCGUGCCAGCAGCCGCGGUAAUACGGAGGAUCCGAGCGUUAUCCGGAUUUAUUGGGUUUAAAGGGAGCGUAGGCGGACGCUUAAGUCAGUUGUGAAAGUUUGCGGCUCAACCGUAAAAUUGCAGUUGAUACUGGAUAUCUUGAGUGCAGUUGAGGCAGGCGGAAUUCGUGGUGUAGCGGUGAAAUGCUUAGAUAUCACGAAGAACUCCGAUUGCGAAGGCAGCCUGCUGGACUGUAACUGACGCUGAUGCUCGAAAGUGUGGGUAUCAAACAGGAUUAGAUACCCUGGUAGUCCACACAGUAAACGAUGAAUACUCGCUGUUUGCGAUAUACAGUAAGCGGCCAAGCGAAAGCGUUAAGUAUUCCACCUGGGGAGUACGCCGGCAACGGUGAAACUCAAAGGAAUUGACGGGGGCCCGCACAAGCGGAGGAACAUGUGGUUUAAUUCGAUGAUACGCGAGGAACCUUACCCGGGCUCGAACGGCGCCUGAACCACCCAGAGACGGGUGGGUCUUCGGACAGGUGCCGAGGUGCUGCAUGGUUGUCGUCAGCUCGUGCCGUGAGGUGUCGGCUUAAGUGCCAUAACGAGCGCAACCCUUGUUGUCAGUUACUAACAGGUUCCGCUGAGGACUCUGACAAGACUGCCAUCGUAAGAUGUGAGGAAGGUGGGGAUGACGUCAAAUCAGCACGGCCCUUACGUCCGGGGCUACACACGUGUUACAAUGGGGGGUACAGAGGGCCGCUACCACGCGAGUGGAUGCCAAUCCCCAAAACCUCUCUCAGUUCGGACUGGAGUCUGCAACCCGACUCCACGAAGCUGGAUUCGCUAGUAAUCGCGCAUCAGCCAUGGCGCGGUGAAUACGUUCCCGGGCCUUGUACACACCGCCCGUCAAGCCAUGAAAGCCGGUGGCGCCUGAAGUACGUGACCGCAAGGAGCGUCCUAGGGCGAAAACGGUAAUUGGGGCUAAGUCGUAACAAGGUAGCCGUACCGGAAGGUGUGGCUG